UUCCAUAAAAAUAUAUAGACGAAAUGUUCAUUCUAUGUUUUUCACAAACACAAGGAUGGUUCCCUUUCCAUUUUGUAACAACCACACACUUUUAAGUUACUUUUCUUUAUCGACAUUUUGACCAUGUCCAAUAUUCUUGGUUUUGCUUUUUUGCCGUCACUAGCACUCCUCGUUCACAUUUUUGUUUUGAGAGAUCCCAUUCCCCGUCGUCUCCACCUUCCACCGC
rnacentral:lncRNA from 1 species